CCUGGCUCCACCUCUCCUAGACCUAUUUAGGAGCCAACUACUGGGGGGGGAAUAAUCUCUUCUGGAGAUCUGCUCUGCUAGUGUUUUGUAAGCAAGCCCAGGAUAUGGCAUGCACUAGAAAUUGCAGUUUCAAUGAGCAUUGUGCUCUGAAGAUGCAACAGCUUUAUGAGAUCCUGAAGCAACAGUGUGAAAAGCCAAUUGGGCUGAAAGCCUGACCGAAAAAACUCUCAAGACUGUAUGUUUUUCUUGUCCAACACUAAUGAUUGCCAGAAAAGAAACAGUGCGAAGUAGCAAGAGCAAGAACAGACUGGUGCAAAAUCUACAGCUAUCUCCCCCCAGAGGCAAUGGCAGAGACUUUCAGAUUCAUCAUCGGUGAUUGCAAUACGGAAUCUGCAGAGAGUACUGUGGUAUCUUGAUAACUGCUUAAUUUAGACAGGAAUUUUACGAAGCAUUUAUUCCAAUUACAAGGGAAGAAAUAGUCAUUAAAAAAAAUCAAGGCCAUAGAGGAUCUUCUUUGCCUGAUUUUAUAAUAAAAU